CCUACGGGAGGCAGCAGUAGGGAAUAUUGCACAAUGGGCGAAAGCCUGAUGCAGCAACGCCGCGUGCGCGAUGAAGGCCUUCGGGUUGUAAAGCGCUUUUCUGGGGGAAGAGUAAGGACGGUACCCCAGGAAUAAGUCUCGGCUAACUACGUGCCAGCAGCCGCGGUAAAACGUAGGAGGCAAGCGUUAUCCGGAUUUACUGGGCGUAAAGCGUGUGUAGGCGGUAUGGUAAGUCGGACGUGAAAGCUCCUGGCUCAACUGGGAGAGGCCGUUCGAAACUUCCAAACUUGAGGGCAGUAGAGGGAGGUGGAAUUCCGGGUGUAGCGGUGAAAUGCGUAGAUAUCCGGAGGAACACCAGUGGCGAAGGCGGCCUCCUGGACUGUCCCUGACGCUCAGACACGAAAGCUAGGGGAGCAAACGGGAUUAGAUACCCUUGUAGUC
rnacentral:rRNA from 1 species